UAAACUCAAAUUUGUAUGGAGUUGGAGCAGCCUCCCUACGUUUACCGCUAGGGGCGCUGCUCUAACUCCAUACAAAUUUAACUUU
rfam:Bombyx mori DNA, contig: Bm_scaf34_contig20626, strain: p50T/Dazao, build 2, whole genome shotgun sequence.